GGGGACGUAGCUCAGCCUGGGAGAGCACUAGACUGAAGAUGCUCAGACUGACUGGUUUAGAUCUGAUGAGGCCUUGGCCAAUGAUUAUCAGAGAUCUAGGUGAGUGAUGCAAGUAGACGUGCAUCGCCCUCAAUCAGGGGUUCAAAUCCCCUCGUUCCCA
rnacentral:tRNA from 1 species